rnacentral:rRNA from 1 species
UACGUAGGGUGCAAGCGUUGUCUGGAAUUAUUGGGCGUAAAGAGCUCGUAGGCGGUUUGUCACGUCGGCUGUGAAAACCCGAGGCUUAACCUCGGGCCUGCAGUCGAUACGGGCAGACUAGAGUAUGGCAGGGGAGACUGGAAUUCCUGGUGUAGCGGUGAAAUGCGCAGAUAUCAGGAGGAACACCGGUGGCGAAGGCGGGUCUCUGGGCCAUAACUGACGCUGAGGAGCGAAAGCGUGGGGAGCGAACAGG